rnacentral:rRNA from 1 species
GAAUUCGCCCUUAGAGUUUGAUCCUGGCUCAGGACGAACGCUGGCGGCGCGCCUAACACAUGCAAGUCGAACGAGCGAGAGAGAGCUUGCUUUCUCGAGCGAGUGGCGAACGGGUGAGUAACGCGUGAGGAACCUGCCUCAAAGAGGGGGACAACAGUUGGAAACGACUGCUAAUACCGCAUAAGCCCACAGGUCGGCAUCGACCAGAGGGAAAAGGAGCAAUCCGCUUUGAGAUGGCCUCGCGUCCGAUUAGCUAGUUGGUGAGGUAACGGCCCACCAAGGCAACGAUCGGUAGCCGGACUGAGAGGUUGAACGGCCACAUUGGGACUGAGACACGGCCCAGACUCCUACGGGAGGCAGCAGUGGGGAAUAUUGCACAAUGGGGGAAACCCUGAUGCAGCGACGCCGCGUGGAGGAAGAAGGUCUUCGGAUUGUAAACUCCUGUUGUUGAGGAAGAUAAUGACGGUACUCAACAAGGAAGUGACGGCUAACUACGUGCCAGCAGCCGCGGUAAAACGUAGGUCACAAGCGUUGUCCGGAAUUACUGGGUGUAAAGGGAGCGCAGGCGGGAAGACAAGUUGGAAGUGAAAUCUAUGGGCUCAACCCCAUAAACUGCUUUCAAAAACUGUUUUUCUUGAGUAGUGCAGAGGUAGGCGGAAUUCCCGGUGUAGCGGUGGGAAUGCGUAGAUAUCGGGAGGAACACCAGUGGCGAAGGCGGCCUACUGGGCACCAACUGACGCUGAGGCUCGAAAGUGUGGGUAGCAAACAGGAUUAGAUACCCUGGUAGUCCACACCGUAAACGAUGAUUACUAGGUGUUGGAGGAUUGACCCCUUCAGUGCCGCAGUUAACACAAUAAGUAAUCCACCUGGGGAGUACGACCGCAAGGUUGAAACUCAAAGGAAUUGACGGGGGCCCGCACAAGCAGUGGAGUAUGUGGUUUAAUUCGACGCAACGCGAAGAACCUUACCAAGUCUUGACAUCCUGCGACGCACAUAGAAAUAUGUGUUUCCUUCGGGACGCAGAGACAGGUGGUGCAUGGUUGUCGUCAGCUCGUGUCGUGAGAUGUUGGGUUAAGUCCCGCAACGAGCGCAACCCUUACUGUCAGUUACUACGCAAGAGGACUCUGGCAGGACUGCCGUUGACAAAACGGAGGAAGGUGGGGAUGACGUCAAAUCAUCAUGCCCUUUAUGACUUGGGCUACACACGUACUACAAUGGCGUUAAACAAAGAGAAGCAAGACCGCGAGGUGGAGCAAAACUCAGAAACAACGUCCCAGUUCGGACUGCAGGCUGCAACUCGCCUGCACGAAGUCGGAAUUGCUAGUAAUCGUGGAUCAGCAUGCCACGGUGAAUACGUUCCCGGGCCUUGUACACACCGCCCGUCA